GUGCACUUCUUACAUGCUGUGAACCUUCCGGCGAGAAAUUCGAAGAACGGUGAGCUGUGUCUCCCUCUGCUGGAAAGUCGCACGUUUUCAGCUGUUACCUCCAUCUACAGCCUGACCAACCACAUCUUCUCAUCAUGGGUGUAACAACCUGUCAGGGGAAGUGUAAGAUACUACAGCAGGAGAGCUGGAGCUUAGCCUGGCAACACAGGGCAGAAGACUGGAGGAGGAGGAGGAGGAGAAGACACACCCAGGACGGGACACCAGUUCGUCGCAAGGCACCCCAAGCAGGACUCGAACUCCAGACCCACCAGAAAGCAGGACCUGGUCCAACCCACUACGCCAUCACACCCCACUACAAUCAUCUAAGAAUUUUAAAAUGCGGUUCAGAUGUGUAGGUACCAUCACUAUAAAGUAUUUCAUUACAAUGUGUUUUAAUUCACUACAAGGAAACGCUGCUACGAAAAGUAGAAACUUUCAUUCCUGUUGCAUCCUUCAACUGAAAAGAAAUCAUUUGUUCAAUCAUUGCAAAAAGUGCAUUUCAUUGUUUUUUCCUAGGAAUUAAUGUAUGCAAAUUGUAAGUGUGAAU
rnacentral:lncRNA from 1 species